UGUUUUCUAGCUCGUACCGUUUUUCGAAAAUCUAUUUUUGAUGAACGUCGUCUUUUUAUCGUAUUGCCGCAUAAUUUAACGUUGAUGUGUUUUCGACAGCUAAUCGUUGCCUCGAUUUUUCAAAUUCGGCUGGAAUAAGAUCCGUCCGAGUGCAGUAGUGUCGAAACUUGCAGCGGUAGCUUCAUGGCUCGGUUUACGGAAAUUGCUUCACAUUCGACCGUUUGUACUUAACGUUCGUACUUAACGUAGGAACCAGCAACGUUCGAGCGUUUUCGCCGCGAAAGAGAUCGCCUUCAAAUUGAACGAGGAAUUAUGUCGAAUACGGCAAAAGUGCGUGUGUCCUUGAAGAUAUAUCGAUACAAUCUAUAGCUACAAAAAAUCUACUAUCAAUAGCUACUAAGGAAAAAAAAUUGAAAAUUUAUUGUAGAUAUAAAAGUUAUUUUACUAAAAUAAAUUUCAUUUCACAGAAAUAAACUUUAUAAAGUUUAUAAAAGGUUUUUCUCUUAACGUAUGAAGCCGCGGUCGUUCUAGUUCACCAAUAAUCGAUCAUGAUCGCCUAAUUAUCCCACUAGACGACGGUACGACCAUUAUCCGGCUAUUAUGGAUUGUCGCAGUUCGUAGUGAGAUGAUCAUGACGUUAAGUUACAAGGAUCUAUAUCAGCGCGAAUGGGAAUCUUGCGCAGAGGCGCAGAGACGUUUAAAUUCUUGAAAAUGCUAAUAAGCAGAAAGAUUGAAGGUAUGGCUGGUCUAAAGGUAUGGUCGGCGGCACCGUUAGAUGAAGGCGUUGUUCCAUUCCUCUUUAGUCGAACUGAUCACUCGAGAAUAUCCAUACGUACCGUACGUUAAACGGUGACAGUGAUUUCACAGUGAUUUUGCAGUGUCACGUAACAAAUCAUAAAACAUCCGCGAGAUAUUGGAAACAACUUAUCAAGAUCAACGAGGUUACAGCUUAUAUAAUAAUAAGAAAAUAUAGAAAGUAGGGGCUAAAUAAUUGCGUGAUACAGAACAUGACGUAUCAAUUACGAAACCAGUUAAGGACAUCGUAAUUUUAUAUGAGAUGGUUAUAAGAUUGUUGAGCAAAUUAUUAUGUUGAUUGAGGCAAGUACUUCUCCAUAAAAUACGCA